rnacentral:lncRNA from 1 species
GAAUAUUGAAUAAUAUGGGUGGUUUAUUGUAGAGUUUUUUCCAAUAGGGGGCACACAAAGCACAAGAACAGCUAAAACCUCGACAAAAUCCUUCACUACUUGAACCAGAGCCCAGAAAAACACAUCUGAGGAACCUUCUGUGUUUAGCAGGGACUAUUAUAACGUUCACAGAGAUUUCUCUGGGUGUCUGCAGGUGUCUUUACUUUGGUGGAUUUAAUGAUUGCUUUCUCUACUUAAGUCCUCUGAAGAGAAAAUGCUAAUUAGUGGGACGCUGGUGGAAGCAAGACAUAUGCCCAGAACCAGGUGGAAGGCUUUGUUUUCCUGGAGCCAGCUGUCGGGAUUGCCUUCUGGCAGCAUCUUUUGUAAAAUGAAAGAAGCACAAUAGAAAAAAAAAUUAGAAAUAAAGAAAAAGACUCCUCUGACUAAACUGGGCUA